rnacentral:rRNA from 1 species
CCUACGGGCGGCAGCAGUGGGGAAUAUUGGACAAUGGGGGGAACCCUGAUCCAGCGACGCCGCGUGAGUGAAGAAGUAUUUCGGUAUGUAAAGCUCUAUCAGCAGGGAAGAAAAUGACGGUACCUGACUAAGAAGCCCCGGCUAACUACGUGACAGCAGCCGCGGUAAUACGUAGGUGGCAAGCGUUAUCCGGAUUUACUGGGUGUAAAGGGCGUGUAGGCGGGACUGCAAGUCAAAUGUGAAAACCAUGGGCUCAACCUACGGCCUGAAUUUGAAACUGUAGGUCUUGAGUACUGGAGAGGCAGACGGAAGUCCUAGUGUAGCGGUGAAAUGCGUAGAUAGUAGGAGGAACACCAGGGGUGAAGGCGGCCUGAUGGGCUUUUACUGACGCUGAGGCUCGAAAGCGUGGGUAGCAAACAGGAUUAGAUACACCAGUAGUC